ensembl:lncRNA
AUGUCUUGCUCCACCAGCCUGGCUGCCCCCGUGCCCCCCCAGCUUCAGUCUGCUCCUGCAACGAGUGCUCCAUCACCUCUGAAACAAACUGCAUCCAUGAGGGAGAAACACUCCCAUCUCAGGCCUGGAAACGUGACCUGGCAGAGGUCCCCAGGAGCCAGCACCCCUCCCCAUCUGCCAGGGACGGGCACCCGAGGGUACCGCUGCUUUGCCCUGUGCCAUGCAGAAGCAUCUUCUUGCAGUGGCACAGCUGCAGCCCACCUCAGUCUCCAAGCUGUGGGGACAGCUUCAGGAGACAGAGGAGAGAUGGCAAUGCCCUGGCUCGGUCUCAGUGGCUCUGCAGCCACUGAACUUGACAGCACUACCGGGAAGGUCUUCAGUCUGAGCUCUAUUCAGGCAGGUGGGCAGCUCUUCCUUCACCUUCAUCUUCACCUUCACCUUCACCUGCUCCAGCAGCAGAUUGCAAAUGUCUGUGGGGAGGACAGAGAGAUACAGACACUGACCAUCCCUGAUCCCAGGUGUUCAGUGUCGUGGCAGACCCCUGCAGGGCAGAGGGGAGGACUCACAGAGGACUGUGCCCCACAGCAGCCGGGAGAAGUGGUGGCUUUAGAGUCUCAAGGGUCUUGUGCAUCCUCUUGUUGCAGCCCACCAGCUCUCCAUCCCCAAUGCUCUGGACCCAGGCGCAGGCUGAGCUUUAUGUUCCCAGCCUCUUGCAACACAGCUCAAGCUUCCAACACAAAUCCCAGGGCUCGGUAUCAGCUCCCAUCUGCAGAUCUGAGAGGAGAAAUGGGGCUGCAGGCACUGCCGGGGUUGCACCAACCCGGCUCGGAGGGGGCAGGCUGAGACUGUUUCUCACCAAGACUCUGCAGAGAGAGCGGCUGCACCUCCCGGAGAAGGCUGCCGGGCACCUGCGGGGAGCGUGGAUCGCUCCUCAGAAGAGCAGCCAGAUGGGAAGGUCUGUGUGAGCCUGAUAACAGCCGCUGCUUGGCUCCUCUCCCUGGCAGACCUGCGUGGGGCAGCCGAGAGCCAGUGCCUGGGGCUCCAGGAAAAGGGGGGGGGGGGGGGGGGUCCAUGUGCCCUGAGGCCAGGCUGGCAUCUCUGUCUGGAGAGCCCUCAACACAGCUCCUCCUGCUAGAAGACCUCCCCAGGGAGCGCAGAGUGAAUGCUCACCCCCACGGCGUGGUGCCCUCAGUGGGGUCAGACGCUUUGGGCUCCUCAUGCCUACGGCGAGCGCAGAACCGGGUGCUGUGGCGCAGAGGGAGAAGCCAGCAUCCUGCAGGACGUGCAAUGGCUGGCUCUGGUCCACCAGCAAGUGUGGCUGGCUCUGGACCAGCCAGGGCAGGACAGGAGCCCAAGGCCAGGCAAGCGUGUUGCUUGCACUGAGACGCCAGCAGAGAAGCUGUGGAUGCAAGGGGGAAGCAGAGGUGAGAGGGAAGAGAAAGGCCUGGCUGUUAGAGGCAGGGGGGGCUGAAAUUCACUAUUAAACUACACUCUAAACUGAUUUUUUUUAAAGUCCUCUUUCCUCCGGAGGUGGUGAAAACACGGUGCCAAGUAAGC